UACAGAGGGUGCAAGCGUUGUUCGGAAUUAUUGGGCGUAAAGCGCGUGUAGGCGGCUUUGCAAGUCGGGUGUGAAAGCCCUCAGCUCAACUGAGGAAGUGCGCCCCGAAACUGCAGAGCUUGAGUACCGGAGAGGAUGGCGGAAUUCCCGGUGUAGAGGUGAAAUUCGUAGAUAUCGGGAGGAACACCAGUGGCGAAGGCGGCGACCUGGGCCAAUAUUGACGCUGAGGUGCGAAAGCGUGGGGAGCAAACAGGG
rnacentral:rRNA from 1 species